rfam:Galdieria sulphuraria unplaced genomic scaffold scaf_7, whole genome shotgun sequence.
GCUCGCGUAGUAUAGUGGUAAGUACCCUCGUUUGUCGUGCGAGAGACCUGGGUUCGAUUCCCAGCGCGAGCG